UUUGUCUCAAAUAGACGGAACGAAAUAUGGGACGUUUAGGGCUGCUGCUCCGACCAUCCGACCAAACGCGCAAAUGGAUCUCCGACCGGUCGAUUCCGUCCUCUCCGUCGCGUCCACCCUCUCUUCCGCUCCCAAACCCGAUCCCAAUAACAAUAAAAAGCCUUCCUUUUUCCCCCUCCGCGUCCUCUCCCACAUGGACUCCUCCCAACCCGGCGACGAGGAGGAGAGCUCCCUCCUUCCCUCCACCUCCCCCUCCCCUGGCCCUGAUUCCCAUUAUGGCGAAGAAGACGAUACCGAGGAGCGCGCCUAUGACGCCCGCGAGAAGAUCGUUGUCGGGAUCUCCGCUGACGACGCUGACUUCGCCGCUGGUGUCCCCCCCUUUUCUUGGCGCAAGCUCUGGCUCUUCACCGGCCCCGGAUUCCUGAUGAGUAUUGCCUUCCUGGAUCCCGGGAAUCUGGAGGGGGACCUCCAGGCCGGCGCCAUCGCCGGGUACUCGCUGCUGUGGUUGCUGUUCUGGGCCACGGCCAUGGGGCUUCUGAUCCAGAUGCUGUCGGCCAGGCUUGGGGUUGCUACAGGAAAACAUCUGGCGGAGCUCUGCCGGGAGGAGUAUCCCGGUUGGGCGCGGCUGGCGCUGUGGUUCAUGGCGGAGGUGGCGAUGAUUGGGGCGGAUAUCCAGGAGGUGAUCGGGAGCGCUAUUGCUAUCAAGAUUCUUAGUCGCGGGGUGCUGCCGCUUUGGGCUGGAGUUGUUAUCACCGCCAUGGAUUGCUUCAUGUUUCUAUUCCUCGAGAACUACGGUGUGAGAAAAUUAGAAGCUGUUUUUGCAUUUCUCAUUGCAACAAUGGCCUUUUCCUUUGCUUGGAUGUUUGGUGAAACCAAGCCCAGUGGGAAGGAGCUUCUGACUGGUUUAUUGGUUCCAAAACUAAGUUCAAAAACCAUAAGGCAGGCUGUUGGGGUUGUGGGCUGUGUCAUUAUGCCCCACAAUGUAUUCCUGCAUUCUGCUCUUGUACAGUCAAGAGAGAUUGAUCCUAGCAAAGAAAUCUGUGUUCAAGAAGCACUAAAUUAUUAUUCCAUAGAGUCUACUUUGGCCCUGAUUGUCUCCUUCACAAUAAAUCUGUUCGUUACAACAGUUUUUGCAAAAGGAUUUUAUGGUACUAAAGAAGCUAAUGGUAUAGGUCUUGAAAAUGCUGGGCAGUUUCUACAAGACAAGUAUGGGGGAGGGCUAUUUCCCAUUCUUUACAUCUGGGGAAUCGGGUUAUUAGCAGCUGGGCAGAGUAGUACGAUUACAGGCACCUAUGCUGGACAAUUUAUCAUGGGUGGAUUUCUGAAUCUUCGCUUGAAGAAAUGGAUCAGAGCAUUGAUUACUAGGAGCUUUGCAAUUGUGCCAACUAUAAUUGUUGCUUUGUUUUUUAACACAUCUGAUUCUGCUUUGGAUAUUUUAAAUGAGUGGCUCAAUGUGCUGCAAUCUGUUCAAAUCCCAUUUGCCCUUAUUCCACUUCUAACAUUGGUAUCAAAGGAGCAUCUUAUGGGAGCUUUUAAAAUUGGCUCUACUGUUCAAAUGGUAACCUGGACUGUCGCUGCUCUGCUAAUAAUAAUCAAUGGCUACCUCUUGCUGGAAUUCUUCUCCUCUGAAAUACAUGGUCUGUUGCUUGGUUCUAUGGUGUGCGUAGCCAUAGCUGUAUAUGUGACAUUUAUAAUUUAUCUGAUCUUGCACGGUGGUGAAUUAUCCACUUGGCUUGCAUCAGCAAUCCGCAAGAGAUUCUCAUGAGGAUUUGAACUCAAAAGAUAAUUGAUUUUGCUUUAACAUGUUUGGAAGAUACAGAAAGCGAGUCCCACAUUUUCGGACGAGAAGAAUGGACAUAAUGUUGUACAGUGAAGCUGCAGGAGCUCCAGGGUUAUAUUGUUCAAUUGGUCUUUCCUGCUCAUGCAAAUCAGUAAAGUGUUCUGCAGCAUGGUUGUGUUUGCAAUAGGUUUACCGUACUCUGUUGAAGAGGCCAGUGCUGAUAUAGAGUAUGUUGAUUUCACAAGGUCGGCUAUUCUGGGCUAUUCGCAGAAGCCUCUUGAGUAUAGCUUUUUGAUGAAAGCCUCUAUGAUAUAGUUAUCUCUAGCAAAUUUUCUCCCUGUUACAAUGCAGGAGAUGACAAGUAAUAACUUCACAGGCUCGAGCAGCACCGUUAGCUAAAUGUGGAAGAAAUAUGAUUUUGCCCAGGUUUACCAUGUCAGGAGGCUUAUCCAAGGUGGGGCUUAUUUCUCUGAUCCCUGCAUCAUUAUAGUCAGUGCAAAGGAACAUACAGAGAACUAGCUGGUAGCAACUUGGGGCAGGCAAGUGUGUGAUUGGAAUUCAGAAGAGAAGCAGCUUCAGAUGGAUGAAUCGGUGAAGAUCUAUUAAUCCACUGAAUUAUGUAAUGCUGGACCGUCAAUGCAAUGCCAAAAAAUUAGGCUGCCAUGGUGAUCUUAAGCCGGUAUAUCUUAGAUGAAAUAGAUAUAUUGAAAUGAUUGCACAGAAGGGAGAGUUACUGAAGGUCUGACCCUGAAACAUGUUCUAAAAAGGAAGAAUGGCCGGGUUUCCAAUUCCAUAUGCUGUCAUGAAUGCAGUAGAAUGUUAAUCUUC